rnacentral:lncRNA from 1 species
GUUCAAGCCACCAAACCGUUGAAACCAAACAGUGAAACCACCAAAUCAGCUGUUCCAGGCAACUCACCCAACUGGACUAGCUUAAUUUGUUGUUUCCCAAGACCAGACAAUCAAUAUUUUCUUUAUCGAAACCGGUUACCAGACCAUAAACACCCCCUAUGCUACAAACCACCGCGAAUGAGAUGGCGACAUGCACCAACACAAGUUUGGAGGAGAAACCCACAAGAAUUAUCCCUCAAAAACAAACCACCAUAGAAGAACUAUAUAACUCUUUGAGUUAAUUACUGUUUUCGUCCAUGUGGUUAAAAUAAAUCAAGAAGCAUCAAAAUCCAUAACACCCCUUAGACUGCAAACCACCUGCUAAGGAGAUGGCAACCUGCACAAGUUUGGAGGAGAAAAACACAAAAUUCUCCCUCAAUAUCAUCUCAAAAAACAAGCAACCACCAUAGAAAAACUAUAAUUUUUUUUUUUUUAAAUAGGUUCAAAAAAAAAAAAAAA